CCGAAUGGGGAAACCCGGCUGGUUGAAGGCCAGUCACCGAAAGGAGCGAACCCGGGGAACUGAAACAUCUAAGUACCCGGAGGAAGAGAAAACAAUAGUGAUUCCGUAAGUAGUGGCGAGCGAACGCGGAACAGCCCAAACCCUGAUCGUUACGGCGGUUGGGGGGUUGUAGGACUACAAUAUGGACUAUAAAAACGAAGUAGAACGAUUUGGGAAAGUCGACCAUAGAGGGUGAAAGUCCCGUAUACGUAAAGUUUUAUUACCUAGUAGUAUCCUGAGUAGGGCGGAACCGGAGAAAUUCCGUCUGAAUCUGCCAGCACCAUCUGGUAAGGCUAAAUACUCCGA
rnacentral:rRNA from 1 species